ACGCUGGCGGCGUGCUUAACACAUGCAAGUCGAGCGAUGAAAUUCUCUUCGGAGAAUGGAUUAGCGGCGGACGGGUGAGUAACACGUGGGUAACCUGCCUUAUAGUGGGGAUAGCCUUUCGAAAGGAAGAUUAAUACCGCAUAAUAUUGUAGUUUCGCAUGAAACAACAAUUAAAGAUUUAUUGCUUAUGGAUGGACUCGCGUCUGAUUAGAUAGUUGGCGGGGUAACGGCUCACCAAGGCGACGAUCAGUAGCCGGUCUGAGAGGAUGAACGGCCACAUUGGGACUGAGACACGGCCCAGACUCCUACGGGAGGCAGCAGUGGGGAAUCUUCCGCAAUGGGCGAAAGCCUGACGGAGCAACGCCGCGUGAGUGAAGAAGGUCUUCGGAUCGUAAAGCUCUGUUGAGAGGGACGAGAGAUUACUUCAGGAAAUGGGAGUAAGAGGACGGUACCUUUCGAGGAAGCCACGGCUAACUACGUG
rnacentral:rRNA from 1 species